GCCUGGGUGGCUCAGCUGGUUAAGCAUCUGACUGUGGCUUAGGUCACAAUCCUGGGGUCCUGGGAUCAAGCCCCACCUCGGGCU
rnacentral:tRNA from 1 species